GACUACAAAUAUAAAUGUCAGAGCUGAUCUUAACUGCUAUAGUGUGAAGAAGAGGGAGUUUUGUUUGUUUUUCAGAAUAUUAUAUGCACCUAGGUUUGCAUACAUGGUGUUAUCCUGACUGCAUAGAGUGAAACCCAAGAAGCCUGUACAGAAGGGACUAGGGAACAAACAGGAAAUGGAAAAAAUGGGAACAAUAAGAUACCUGUGGUAAACAGCUUCAAUGGAGUUAAAACAACUCUAGCUGGGCCAUCAACAGGGAAAGUACUAGUUUCAGGUCCAAGCAAAGUUACAUAGCUGUUCUGCCAAGGCUGAAAGGCUAGAGAACAAAAGACUGUGAACAGUUAAAAAGACUGCUGGAAGAAGGAAGGAAGGAGUGGAUUGCCAACACCUGCUGGGGAAGAUGCAGAGAGAGUUACAGAAGAGAGGAAAGAGUACUGGAGAGCUCAAGGGGGCAGAUAAUUGGGGUGAAUGCAACUCAUCACAACUUGCAAGGAGAGAUGAAAGUUUAGGUAGUGGAUUUUCACAUUGAAUUUGUAUUAAGACAACUUGGAACCUGCAGCCCACCACCGAGAUCAAGCCCAGAAUGACUGCACCACAAGACUCCAUCCUUGAAAGUGGUGAAGAAAGCCAGGCCUGUUAUUCGGUGAUUAAAAGGGAAACCAAAAAGGAAUUAGAAGGAACUUCCAUAAGGGCUCAUACCAACACGUGUUCUGAAAGGCACACAAGAGGAAGGAGUGCAUAUAAGAGCUCCAUGGAGAAGCUUGGUGAGCAGUCCGGCUGCUGCAGGAGGGGAACUACUGAGGACUCCCGGAGAAGUGGCAGCAACCCCAGAAGGACUGUAGCAGACGGUGGGGA